rnacentral:rRNA from 1 species
UACGUAGGGUGCAGGCGUUAAUCGGAAUUACUGGGCGUAAAGCGUGCGCAGGCGGUCUUCCAAGUCAGUGGUGAAAGCCCGGAGCUCAACUCCGGAACUGCCAUUGAAACUGUGAGACUUGAGGACGAGAGAGGUGAGUGGAAUUCCCAGUGUAGAGGUGAAAUUCGUAGAUAUUGGGAAGAACACCGGUGGCGAAGGCGGCUCACUGGCUCGUAUCUGACGCUCAGGCGCGACAGCGUGGGGAUCAAACAGG